GUGACAGCAGCCGCGGUAAGACGUAGGGGACGAGCGUUGUCCGGAUUCAUUGGGCGUAAAGCGCGCGUAGGCGGUUUGGUAAGUCGGAUGUGAAAACACGAGGCUCAACCUCGUGCGUGCAUCCGAUACUGCCCGACUAGAGGUAGGUAGGGGAGAUCGGAAUUCCUGGUGUAGCGGUGAAAUGCGCAGAUAUCAGGAGGAACACCGGUGGCGAAGGCGGAUCUCUGGGCCUUACCUGACGCUGAGGCGCGAAAGCUAGGGGAGCGAACAGGAUUAGAAACCCCAGUAGUCC
rnacentral:rRNA from 1 species